AGAGUUUGAUCCUGGCUCAGAUUGAACGCUGGCGGCAUGCUUUACACAUGCAAGUCGAACGGCAGCACGGGGGCAACCCUGGUGGCGAGUGGCGAACGGGUGAGUAAUACAUCGGAACGUGCCCGGUAGUGGGGGAUAGCCCGGCGAAAGCCGGAUUAAUACCGCAUACGACCUACGGGUGAAAGCGGGGGACCGCAAGGCCUCGCGCUAUCGGAGCGGCCGAUGUCGGAUUAGCUAGUUGGUAAGGUAACGGCUUACUAAGGCCACGAUGGAUAGCUGAUCUGAGAGGGUGAUCAGCCACACUGGGACUGAGAUACGGCCCAGACUCCUACGGGAGGCAGCAGUGAGGAAUAUUGCGCAAUGGAGGAAACUCUGACGCAGCAACGCCGCGUGGGGGAUGAAGCACUAUGGUGUGUAAACCCCUGUAGACAGGGACGAACGAUAUGUAUUCGUAAGGGUAUGUAUGUGACGGUACCUGUAAAGUAAGCACCGGCUAACUCCGUGCCAGCAGCCGCGGUAAUACGGGGGGUGCAAGCGUUGUCCGGAAUUACUGGGCGUAAAGGGCGUGUAGGCGGCUUAUUAAGUCAGAUGUGAAAGCCCACGGCUUAACCGUGGAACUGCAUUUGAAACUGAUAGGCUUGAGUAUGAGAAGGGGUAGUGGAAUUCCCAGUGUAGCGGUGAAAUGCGUAGAUAUUGGGAAGAACACCAGUAGCGAAGGCGACUACCUGGCUCAUUACUGACGCUAAUGCGCGAAAGCGCGGGGAGCAAACAGGAUUAGAUACCCUGGUAGUCCGCGCCGUAAACGAUGGAUACUAGAUGUUGGUUACUUUUUAGUGAUCAGUGUCGCAGCUAACGCAUUAAGUAUCCCGCCUGGGGAGUACGAUCGCAAGGUUGAAACUCAAAGGAAUUGACGG
rnacentral:rRNA from 1 species